rnacentral:rRNA from 1 species
AGUGAACGCUGGCGGUAGGCCUAACACAUGCAAGUCGAACGGCAGCACAGUAAGAGCUUGCUCUUACGGGUGGCGAGUGGCGGACGGGUGAGGAAUACAUCGGAAUCUACUUUUUCGUGGGGGAUAACGUAGGGAAACUUACGCUAAUACCGCAUACGACCUACGGGUGAAAGCAGGGGAUCUUCGGACCUUGCGCGAUUGAAUGAGCCGAUGUCAGAUUAGCUAGUUGGCGGGGUAAAGGCCCACCAAGGCGACGAUCCGUAGCUGGUCUGAGAGGAUGAUCAGCCACACUGGAACUGAGACACGGUCCAGACUCCUACGGGAGGCAGCAGUGGGGAAUAUUAGACAAUGGGCGCAAGCCUGAUCCAGCCAUACCGCGUGGGUGAAGAAGGCCUUCGGGUUGUAAAGCCCUUUUGUUGGGAAAGAAAAGCAGCAGGUUAAUACCCCGCUGUUCUGACGGUACCCAAAGAAUAAGCACCGGCUAACUUCGUG